rnacentral:rRNA from 1 species
CCUACGGGAGGCUGCAGUGGGGAAUAUUGGGCAAUGGAGGCAACUCUGACCCAGCAACGCCGCGUGAAUGAUGAAGGUCUUCGGAUUGUAAAGUUCUGUGCUGGGGGAUGAACACAAUGACGGUACCCCAAUAGCAAGCCACGGCUAACUACGUGCCAGCAGCCGCGGUAAUACGUAGGUGGCAAGCGUUAUCCGGAAUGACUGGGCGUAAAGGGGGCGUAGGUGGGUAAGUAAGUUGGCGGUGUAAUUCCGGGGCUCAACCUCGGCGCUACAGCUAAAACUAUUAGACUAGAGGGCAGGAGGGGUAAUUGGAAUUCCUAGUGUAGCGGUGGAAUGCGGAGAUAUAAGGAGGAACAUCAGGGGCGAAGGCGACUUACUGGACAGUAACUGACACUGAGGCACGAAAGCGUGGGGAGCAAACAGGAUUAGAUACCCGGGUAGUC